AGCCAUAUCACAUUGAAGCACCAGUUCUUGUAUGAUCACCAAAGUUAAGCAACAUCAAGCCUGGUCAGUACUUAGAUGGGUGACACAAGGGAAGACCAGGUGUUGUU